CAAUAGCGUAUAUUAAAGCUGUUGCGGUUAAAAAGCUCGUAGUUGGAUUUCUGUCAAGGACAACUGGUCCGCCCCUCGGGUGAGCACAUAGUUUGGUCUUGGCAUCUUGUUGGAAACUGUUGCUGCACUUGGUUGUGUGGCGCAGUGUCCGGCACUUUCACUUUGAGGAAAUUGGAGUGUUUCAAGCAGGCACAUGCCUUUGGACACAGUAGCAUGGAAUAAUUAGAUUGGGCUUUUGCUCCAACUUGUCGGUUUCUGGAGCUGAGGUGAGAAUUAAUGGGGAUUGUUGGGGGCAUCCGAAUUUAGCCGUCAGAGGUGAAAUUCUUGGAUCUGCUAAAGACGGACAACUGCGAAAGCGUUUGCCCAGGAUGUUUUCAUUGA
rnacentral:rRNA from 1 species